AUCUUCUUAGUAUAUUCAGUACUACUGACUUCCAAUCAGUAAGAUCCGAACCCCUUAACGGAAGAAGAUA
rnacentral:tRNA from 1 species